CCUCUUUCAGCACGUGGUGCAUGCACAGCAUCUCGUCGCGCCGCUAUGCCUGCUCCGCCGACUCCUCCAGGAGUGUCUUCUUGUCCCUACGCGAGUGCAGGUUGGACAGCAGCUCUGAGAUGAACUCCUUGGUCUGCCUGCUCUGCCGACGCCUCCACGAGUGUCUGCAGGUUCCGACGCGAGUACAGGUUGGACAGCAGCUCCGAGAAGAUGAACUUCUUGGUCUGCCUGCUCUGCCGACUCCUCCAGGAGUGUCUUCUUCUUCCCACGCGAGUCUCGUCAC
rnacentral:lncRNA from 1 species